rnacentral:rRNA from 1 species
UACGGGGGGGGCAAGCGUUGUUCGGAAUUACUGGGCGUAAAGGGCUCGUAGGCGGCCAACUAAGUCGGAUGUGAAAUCCCCAAGCUUAACUUGGGAACUGCAUCCGAUACUGGAUGGCUUGAAUCCGGGAGAGGGAUGCAGAAUUCCAGGUGUAGCGGUGAAAUGCGUAGAUAUCAGGAGGAACACCGGUGACGAAGGCGGGUCUCUGGGCAACAACUGACGCUGAGGAGCGAAAGCGUGGGGAGCGAACAGG